ensembl:snoRNA Gm25502 small nucleolar RNA SNORA17
CCUGCCCCUAGAGGCCUCGCAGGUGUGACUGCUGUGUCACAUGUGUGUCAGUAGGUGGCAGAGAGGAGAGAGGCUAUGUCUACACUCAGCGUUCUGACUAUGUACUCUGAAUGAUUAGCAGGCUAACACU